AUUGAACGCUGGCGGCAUGCCUUACACAUGCAAGUCGAACGGCAGCACGGGUGCUUGCACCUGGUGGCGAGUGGCGAACGGGUGAGUAAUACAUCGGAACGUACCUUAUCGUGGGGGAUAACGCAGCGAAAAGCUGUGCUAAUACCGCAUACGCCCUGAGGGGGAAAGCGGGGGAUCGAAAGACCUCGCGCGAUUAGAGCGGCCGAUGCCUGAUUAGCUUGUUGGUGGGGGUAAAAAGCCCACCAAAGGCGACGAUCAGUAGCUGGUCUGAGAGGACGAUCAGCCACACUGGGACUGAGACACGGCCCAGACUCCUACGGGAGGCA
rnacentral:rRNA from 1 species